GACGGAGGGUGCUAGCGUUGUUCGGAAUUACUGGGCGUAAAGGGCGCGUAGGCGGCCUGGUCAGUCGGAUGUGAAAGCCCGGGGCUCAACCCCGGAACGGCAUCCGAGACGGCCAGGCUGGAGACCGGGAGAGGAGAGUGGAAUUCCUGGUGUAGCGGUGAAAUGCGCAGAUAUCAGGAAGAACACCCGUGGCGAAGGCGGCUCUCUGGGACGGUACUGACGCUGAGACGCGAAAGCGUGGGGAGCGAACAGG
rnacentral:rRNA from 1 species